AGUGAAUCAAUGAAGACUCAGCCCACCACUCCUGAACGGUUGCCGACCCCUGGUGUCGACGUAGCUUAAGAAGGCGUGAGAGAGAGAGAAAGAGAGAGCGAACUCAUGCACAAGCAGGAGGAUGACUCUAGCCUGAUCACUUACCUUCUUGAGCACCACAAACUCAUUCUCUGCAGCCGUGCGCUUGUUGACCUCAUCUUCGUACCUGGGCGGGAAGAAGAUGAGACGGGAGCCUUGUUACAGCUGGUAGCCUGUUCUGAAAGACCAUUUACCAGCUGGGAACAGGCCUCCUUGGACAUCAGAAGGAGCAGCAGGAUGCUGUUGUGUAUCUUCUCCCUGUAUUGUGGCAGGCGUAUAUGACCAGCC